ACUCAAAUGAAUAGACGGGGGCCCGCACAAGCGGUGGAGCAUGUGGUUUAAUUCGACGCAACGCGAAGAACCUUACCUGGGCUUGAACUGUUAUGGACCGCGCUAGAGAUAGCGUUUUUCGCAAGAACUGUAACAGAGGUGCUGCAUGGCUGUCGUCAGCUCGUGUCGUGAGAUGUUGGGUUAAGUCCCGCAACGAGCGCAACCCUUACCUGUAGUUGCCAGCGCGUUAAGGCGGGAACUCUACAGGGACUGCCCGGGUUAACCGGGAGGAAGGCGGGGAUGAUGUCAAGUCCUCAUGGCCCUUAUGUCCAGGGCUACACACGUGCUACAAUGGGCGAUACAAACCGUUGCGAUGCCGCGAGGUGGAGCUAAUCGGAGAAAGUCGUCCUCAGUUCGGAUUGCAGUCUGCAACUCGACUGCAUGAAGGUGGAAUCGCUAGUAAUCGUGUAUCAGAAUGAUACGGUGAAUACGUUCCCGGGCCUUGCACACACCGCCCGU
rnacentral:rRNA from 1 species